GGAAUCUUCGGCAAUGGACGAAAGUCUGACCGAGCAACGCCGCGUGAGCGAAGAAGGCCUUCGGGUCGUAAAGCUCUGUUGUUAGAGAAGAACAUGGGUGAGAGUAACUGUUCACCCCUUGACGGUAUCUAACCAGAAAGCCACGGCUAACUACGUGCCAGCAGCCGCGGUAAUACGUAGGUGGCAAGCGUUGUCCGGAAUUAUUGGGCGUAAAGCGCGCGCAGGCGGUCUCUUAAGUCUGAUGUGAAAGCCCCCGGCUCAACCGGGGAGGGUCAUUGGAAACUGGGAGACUUGAGGACAGAAGAGGAGAGUGGAAUUCCAAGUGUAGCGGUGAAAUGCGUAGAUAUUUGGAGGAACACCAGUGGCGAAGGCGGCUCUCUGGUCUGUUACUGACGCUGAGGCGCGAAAGCGUGGGGAGCAAACA
rnacentral:rRNA from 1 species